rnacentral:tRNA from 1 species
AAGACGAACAGUGAGGGGUUCCCGUCGUGGCUCAGGGGUUAAAAAUCUGACUAGCAUCCAUGAGGAUGAAGGUUCAAUCCCUGGCCUUGCUCAGUGGGUUAAGGAUCUGGUGUUGCCAUGAGCUAUGGUGUAGGUCGCAGAUGUGGCUUGGAUCCUGCAUUGCUGUGGCUGUGGUGUGGCCCAGCAUCUACAGCUCUGAUUAGACCCCUAGCCUGGAAACCUCCAUAUGCCGCAGGUGUGGCCCUAAAAAAAGCAAAAGAAAGAAAAAAAAAAAAGAACAAUGAGCAGAAACUUAAAUUUUUUCUCAUGCCAUCAUUAACCAUAACUGAUUUCAGGGAAGGAUAUUCUCCUCCAUUGGAAUUUCCAUCAUAGACAGAACCUGUAUCUAUCUGGGAGAAUUGAAUCAGCUUUGGCCUGAGGCAUCCCAAACCUCAGCAUCAUUCAGUGACUGGGGAGUGGGUUACUACUCCUUUAGAAAGUUGGGAAGAUUGUUGGCACCUCUGGUUUCCUUUGAAGACAAAACUUAACAAAUACAUGCAUACCAGGGUACACGUUCUCAUAAGGCCUUGAGAGUUUCUUUCCUAAAAGGAAUUUGAAUUUUAACAUAGGACAAUGACUAAACACCAAAAGAAAGGGUUUCUAGUGAUAGAACUUGGGACAUCAGCCCAUCAGAGAGAAGGGCUGCUUGGGGACGUGGGAAGCCCUUCAGGUGUCUCCACUUGUGGGUAUUCACCACCCCUGAUGCAGCGCUAGUGCAGUCCUGGCCUUCUAAGCCUUUGCAAAAACUCAAAUACACUAAAAGAGGCAGAUUUUAGUUCUGCAGAUCGGUGUAUACACUACCUAUUUCUGUUUAAGUCUGUGACUGAGGGAAUGCCAGGACGAAGUCAGGAGAGGUGACUAAUCCCACCCCUCCUGCCAGAACAGGGCUGCCCACUGGAAUCCAGGCAAAACCCAGGCUGUGUGUUAGGGUGGCCCCUCCCCGAAUUCCCUAACUCACAUUGCACUGCUUCCAGAUCGAUAAGUUAUUGCUGAGAAAAUCCUUUCAGUGAGUGACAUCCGUGUCUCCAGUGGAGCCGUCCUUCUCCCAACCCCACUGUCCUUUCAGCCUGUGCCCCAGAAUCCUUGCUCUGUGUCCUGGAGAAAUGCAGUUACCCUUGUCCUUUUCAGGGAAAAACAUAUUGACUGAUAUCUUGGCCCUGACAUUUCACCCUGUUUUAUCUCAGGACACAGAAGCCCCUUCAUGUUUGUUGUCGUUUUCACUCAAGGUCAGUAUAGAUCCCCGAGCACAGGCAACCUGCUGCAUUCUCUUGCCUAUAAUUGUCCUUCCAUCUAAUCGGGGAAAGGUUGCUCUAAUGAACCAGCUACAGAUUCCCUCACCUAGUCACUCUUUCAUCACUAUUCCUUUAUCAGUAAAUUCUUUGUUAUCUAGGUCCUGAAAUUUAUUUCAUUUUUUAAACUAAUUUUUUUCUUUAAAAAAUGCUUCCUUUAUCUCAUAGCAGACUGUGAUCUUUUUCCCUCUGAGUACUGUAUAAUACAAUUUGAACAUAAUAGAACAUUCUAAAAUAAAGCCAGGCAGGGAUUUCAUCAUAACCAAUAUUAAAUGCUAGGAGAGGCAGCAUUUUAAAAGAGAGGUGGGAUGAAGGAAGCUAGGUCUCAUAAUUCAACCAGUAUAUCUGGGGCUCUCAGUGCAUGCUGAGCACUGCGCUAGGCUCUGAGGAUGUACACACAAAUAAGACAGCAUCAUGGCUCAGAGAGUUUCAUAUUCUGAUGAGUCCAUUCAUAAAAACUGUAAUUCAAAGCUAGGAAUAAACCCUUCCCCGCCCCCCCGAGGCACACACAGCAAAAGUCUGUUGGAAAUCUACAGAGCUUUCACAACUGGCUCUGGGACCUUAAUCUGUUUGGAAAACUCUGUUCUAAAUCCUAUUUUAUUGGGCCAUUCAAAAUCCAUGCUUGUCCACAAUCAAUAUAUACAGUUAUGUGUAACCUUCACAGAGUAAGAAAUGCCUCGGACAGCUUUUGAAGGGUUAGGCAGAGAAAUCUGUUCUGAUGGCUUGAAAAGAAGUAGAAAAGUUUUCAGGAAAGCCAACAAGAUUCCAGAGAGUUCAGCUCUGCUUGUGUUCACACAGGGGAUUUGGCCAGGGAAGAGCCUUCUAGCAAGAGGGAUACAGGGAUGGGUAAGCAAAGAGACCCCACUGCAGGAGCAAGCAAGAUCUAAGCCAGACUACAGGCAUUUGUUAAUGUGUCUGCUGGGCCAAAGCAGAGAAGGAAAUUUGGAGGCAGGAGUUGUGGUGAAAGCAGAUUCUGGAAAACAGAGCCCCCCAAACUGGCUCAUUCUCAGAGGCAUCUGGCCCAACCUCCCGCCUCCAAGCACAUCCCGCCUGCAGUAUGUCUGGCCAACUGCUUUUUGAGCUCUCGCGGGUUGGAGAGUCUACAACCUUCCCUGUCAUCUGUUUCACUUAGAAGUUUGCGCUUAGAAGUUCCUUUAAAGAGUGGAGGCGGGAGAGAGACGGUCCAAAAAUGGGGAGACAAGCAGAGCAAAUCAGGGCAGGGGAACUGUAGUGGCGCUGGAGGUGGGGAUUGUCUCUGCAUUUCACACUCGCUCACCCUCCAGGGCGGGAGGGGGCGCUCACCGGGGGAGCCAGCCAUCUGGGGACCGCCCUCCCGGAAGCCCUGUCUACCAGAGAAGAGGUUCCUAUCCUGCUCCACGCAAGCAGUACGAAUCCAGACAUCCACGGCCUCCCAAGAGGAACUGGGUUUCAUUCGAAAGUCUAUGAGUUUCCUAAUCCCCUCUGCCUUCCAUUCUCCAGAGUAAUGUUCUGUCAUUGAAGGCAUGCCCUUCAGUGCCCUAUUGCAGGCCCCCUGCCACUGUCAUUCCUUUUCAUACCAAUUCUCGGAUGCAAAGCAAUCUUGGGUAGUCCAAACAUUUCUUAGAUCCAAGUAACGUUUCCAUUGCUUACUCCAUUCAGACUCUUCCAUCUGCCUCCACCCUCUCAGUCACACCCCUAGAAGCAAACCAGGAAGUCUGUCCAACCAGAAGCACUCUUUGAAAGCCCAAACACUUUCUUGUUCUCCUGUUCUCAAGCCAUGGUGUAUUUCAUCUGACUUUACACCACCCCUAGCCCUCUGGCUUUCAUGGUUCUGCACCACUUGACAGAGCAGGCAGGCAAGCAGAGGCUGGGGCAGCAGGUGGAAGGAAGUACAGGCAGGAUGUCUCUAGAAACAGAAGAGAGGCAGCUGCUGGCACAGAAACCUGCAAUAGUCCCAUGGCCAUCAUGACCCACACGAGGGUCCUAGCCUGCUAAACAGGCUCUCCCUACCCCCAUUCCCCGGGUUCCCUGGGGGCGCCCCUCCCUUUGGCUUUGAGCCUCAUUGCGGUUCACGCCUUCCCCCAUCCCAGGAGGCACUGAACUCUGACUCCUUUUCAGGCUAUGGAAGAACGAAGUCCUUACCUGUUGGAAUCUGGUCCACCCUGAGAAUGCUGACACUAAUGCAGCUGAACACUAGAAGUUCUGAGGGAGUUCCCUGGUGGUCUAGUGGGUAGGACUCUGCCCUUUCACCAUGGCAGCCCAGGUUCAAUCCCUGGUCUGGGAACUGAGAUUCCCACAUCAAGCUGCUGCAUGCCACAGCCAAGAAAAAAAUGAAAAUUAAAAGCUAAAAAAAAAAUAAAAAUUUUUCUCACUGCCAGAGUAAAGAAAACUGCUCUAGCAGGCUGCAGCAGAUACUCUGCCUCUGGGGCUCUUGGUCAGAAAACAGGCCCGGAUGCUCCCAAAGGACUGAGGGUGGACCAGAUGAUCUCUCAAGAUUGCUCCCGUCGUGGUGCAGUGGUCAACGAAUCCGACUAGGAACCAUGAGGUUGCGGGUUCGGUCCCUGCCCUUGCUCAGUGGGUUAACGAUCUGGCGUUGCUGUGAGCUGUGGUGUAGGUUGCAGACGUGGCUCGGAUCCCACGUUGCUGUGGCUCUGGCAUAGGCCGGCUCUGAUUCAACCCCUAGGCCUGGGAACCUCCAUAUGCCGCAGGAGCGGCCCUAGAAAUGGCAAAAAGACAAAAAAAAAAAAAAAAAAAAAAAAAAAAAAAAAAAAGGUUGCUCCCAGCUCCAGAACUAAGGGGGGGGGGGUUUGUUUUUGUUUUGUUUGUUUGUUUUUUGGUCAUGCCCUCAGCAUGCAGAAGUUCUCAGGGCAGGAAUCAAACCUGCACCUGUACCCAGAGCCACAGCAAUGACAACGGCAGAUCCUUAAACCACUAAGCCACUAGGGAACUCCUCCAGAACCUGACUUAAAAAAGCAACACUAAGAUCCAGGUAACAUACAGGCUCCGUGACAGCAGGUGCUCCUCCUCCCAUGACACCCCAUACACCUGGGCAGAUUUUCCUCUCCCCGCACAAGACACGGCGCCAAGAUGGACAGAGGCAGGGAGGGGGCUUAAAAAUCUGCCCACACCGAGCCUUGUUGCCAGGGGAUGUGCAUAUCUGCUGGCCUGGCGCUGUGGCCUGGUGGGUCUAUGCAACUGUCACAACGUGAGUGUGUGUGAUGACUUCUCCUCUGACACUCCUCACAACUUCUGAGUGUUCUGUGCAUUUUAAAAUGAUUCUUACCAUGUAAAUAUUAUAUUACACUUUAAUAAAAAGGUUUUUUUGCAUUUUACUUUUGUAAUAUUUGAGGGUUUAUAGAUUUUUAUUUUAUGGCUAAGUAUACUUUUGUAAGGAAAUAUCGAAGUCUUGAGUAUUUUUAUUCUUUUAAAACUCUAGCUAGUGUCCACUGUAAGCACGGAUAAAUAUUAUUGUAUACAGUUUUCCUUCCCUUCCAUCGCGUCUUUUUAAGGAACUGUGUUUUGGCGUAGCGUUUUAUUUAAAACUCUCUGCUUCAUGUUACACACUGUGAAUACUGAAGAUUCUGAAAAAUAAAGAUGCAUUUAAAAUCUCUGUGCUGUGAUGUUGUAGAAAAUGGUAAUGUGCAUUGCUUUGCCAAAGUGGUAGUUAAAUGUUUAAUGGUUUAGAACGCCUCGUGGAGAACGGGGAUGGGGUGGCUUCUGGUUGUUACUCACAGCGCGGGGCCUCAGCGGCAGCCCGCACAUCUUUGGAGAGCGACACAUGAAUGGUGAGCGCCUGCUCCGUUAGGAAGUAUGGUUAUGUUGACAUUAUACGUACUGUGUUGUGGUUUUGCAAUAAAUGUGUAUGG